rnacentral:rRNA from 1 species
UACGGAGGAGGCAAGCGUUAUCCGGAAUUAUUGGGCGUAAAGCGUCCGUAGGUGGCUCUUCAAGUCUGCUGUCAAAGAGUGGGGCUUAACCCUGCAAAGGCAGUGGAAACUGAAAGGCUAGAGAGCCGUAGGGGUAGAGGGAAUUCCCGGUGUAGCGGUGAAAUGCGUAGAGAUGUGGAGGAACACCGAUGGCGAAGGCAGCCCCCUGGGCCUAUACUGACGCUCAUGCACGAAAGCGUGGGGAGCAAACAGG